UACAGAGGUCUCAAGCGUUGUUCGGAUUCAUUGGGCGUAAAGGGUGCGUAGGCGGCGCGGUAAGUCGGGUGUGAAAUCUCGGAGCUUAACUCCGAAACUGCAUUCGAUACUGCCGUGCUUGAGGACUGGAGAGGAGACUGGGAUUUACGGUGUAGCGGUGAAAUGCGUAGAUAUCGUAAGGAAGACCAGUGGCGAAGGCGGGUCUCUGGACAGUUCCUGACGCUGAGGCACGAAGGCCAGGGAAGCAAACGGG
rnacentral:rRNA from 1 species